CAGAUUGUAGCUUAUAUAAAGUAUUUUAUUUACAUUAAAGGGAAAAUUAAUUGUUUUAUCUGA
rnacentral:tRNA from 1 species